rnacentral:tRNA from 1 species
GUUUUGAUAGCUUAAUUUAAAGCAUAACAUUGAAAAUGUUAAUAUAAGAACAAUCUUUCAAAACA